rnacentral:sRNA from 16 species
CGGGUGAAGUCGUCGGCGGCACAGCCGAACGCACCAGCUCCGGAGAACGCCCCCACCUGGGGCGCCGCCUGGUGUGAGCCGCCCUGCUGGCGUCAGAGCAGUGACGAUGACGCACCCG